rnacentral:ncRNA from 1 species
AACAUUGGUGCCUAUACAAAGGUUAAACGGGAAACUGGUGAUUGACUAUUCCAGUGCUGCCCUCGCAACGGUAAAUAGAAGAUUUUUAGCAUAUGUCACUGUGGAAACGGGAAGGCGCUAAAAAUUACAUAAAUUCUUAAGCCCGGAUACCGGCCAAAAAAAUAU